ACCUUUGCUGUCUUGGGACGGAUCACCGCUGCAAGAGGGGAAGUUGCUACUGUGAUGAAUUCUGCCAUGUGGCACCAGACUGCCACCCAGACCACAGUGUCCUCUGCAACCCUGCUUCUCAGAUGACCAAGAUGGUGCUGCAGAUGGUGCUGAGGAUGGAGAACCCACCAAGCCCCGCUAGGAGCCACCUAGACUGGAUGCAGAGCAUGGAGUUUUAUUUGCUUCCAAGAAGGAAGGCAAGAUUUCCUGGGUCCGUGAUGAUGGAAGGCUGACAACUCUUUUAUGGAGUUUGAGCUUGCUCCCAGCAGGGAAGACAAGUUCGAGUUUUUUUCCUGCUUCAAGGAUGGUAGAGAGCAGUCUUCAGCCUGAGACCCAUCCCUAGGCCCCAGCACCCGCAGAGCAGACACUGCGAUGACAACGGACGACACAGAAGUGCCCGCUAUGACUCUAGCACCGGGCCACGCCGCUCUGGAAACUCAAACGCUGAGCGCUGAGACCUCUUCUAGGGCCUCAACCCCAGC
rnacentral:lncRNA from 10 species